rnacentral:rRNA from 1 species
AGCGAACGCUGGCGGCAGGCCUAACACAUGCAAGUCGAACGGAUCCUUCGGGAUUAGUGGCGGACGGGUGAGUAACACGUGGGAACGUGCCCUUUGGUUCGGAACAACUCAGGGAAACUUGAGCUAAUACCGGAUAAGCCUUUCGAGGGAAAGAUUUAUCGCCAUUGGAGCGGCCCGCGUAGGAUUAGCUAGUUGGUGGGGUAAAGGCCCACCAAGGCUACGAUCCUUAGCUGGUCUGAGAGGAUGAUCAGCCACAUUGGGACUGAGACA